rnacentral:rRNA from 1 species
CCUACGGGUGGCAGCAGUGGGGAAUAUUGCGCAAUGGGCGAAAGCCUGACGCAGCGACGCCGCGUGAGGGAUGAAGGUCUUCGGAUCGUAAACCUCUGUCAGCAGGGAAGAACGGUCACUGUGCUAAUCAGCAGUGAAUUGACGGUACCUGCAAAGGAAGCACCGGCUAACUCCGUACCAGUAGCCGCGGUAAUACGGAGGGUGCGAGCGUUAAUCGGAAUUACUUGGCGUAAAGCGCUCGUAGGCGGUAUGUCAAGUCAAGGGUGAAAUCCCCGCGCUCAACGUGGGAACUGCCUUUGAAACUGGCAAACUGGAGUGUGUGAGAGGAUAGUGGAAUUCCAGGUGUAGGAGUGAAAUCCGUAGAUAUCUGGAGGAACAUCAGUGGCGAAGGCGACUAUCUGGCACAUAACUGACGCUGAGGAGCGAAAGCGUGGGUAGCAAACAGGAUUAGAUACCCUGGUAGUC